AAACAGAGGAGUUCCAAAUGGUGGAAUUAUGUUCUUAGUUUCGGUUUAAAAACGAAUAUUGAAACUUUACGUUAACGGUAAGUCAUAGGAAACUAGUUUAAGGACAAAUACCUAAACAUGCUAAACCUUUUGAAAAAUCAAACGUAGUAGUACAUGUAGUACUAAGAAAGAGUUUUGUACAUGUUUUCCAAAAUAAAUUCGCAACAUAGAAAGAUUUUAAUAUGAUUUAAGCGAUCAUUGUCUUUCUUCGUUGUUAUUGUAACAAAGGCUUAAACACAUUUCCAUAUUAUAAUUUAACAUUAGUUGUCAAAACAUUAAAAAGCUGAAAGGACAUUUUCCACAAGGAAUAUUUUAAUCUUGAUACACACCACUGCUUUUUAAACGGGGAAGUAUUUUAUUUUUAAUUUUAAAUAUUUUAAUUUUAGUAUCGUCCUUGAUCACUACAAUUGUAUUACGUGACAUAGUUAAUUAAAUAAUUAAGUAGACAUGUUGUAAAGUCAUGUGUAUUCCAAUUCAGAGCAUACUUUAAAUCUGAUUAAUUAUUUAAAGACUGCAUUGCAUUUAGUUUCAUUUUCUGAGCCAGACAUUGACAGUCAUAACAAAAAUAAGAAACAAAAAAAAACCACGUGACCUGUUUGGAAACAUUAUUGAAUAUUAAAAUAAAUCAAAACUGAUAUUUUCUUUUUGGCAUUUUUUUUUACUUACCAUUAUAUUCAUUAGUUGUUGAUUAUAGUAUGGUUCAGUAGUUCGUGGUACGAAGCUGUUGAUAAGUUGUCCGCAAUAAAUUGUUUGGCAGUCCGAAUAGGAUUAUAUGUUUUCAACAUAAUUCAUUGUAUUUGGGUUUUUAACAGAUUUUCGUAACUGCAAGUACUCUUUGAUGGGUAGACAUACGUUUCGUUUUGUAGCAUUUUUUUUAAAAUUUAUUUUACACUGGCACUGGUCUCAUAAUUUCCCUCCCCUCCCCCUAUAUGCAUUAAUUUAACACAAGGUACUUAACUCGCAUUUUAGAAAAAUGGCAGUCGGUGGCGAAUUCCCGUUAUUUGCCGAUUUCUCGGCCGUCAACCCACAGGCAUUUGUCUCAGAGUUAUUUUUCCUAUAUACCGUGUUAUAGAAAGGUAUAUAGGACAAUUGUUUUUUUCUGAGACAGGUGCCUGUGUUAAUUUAGCCUAUUACAGAUUUGACGAUUGUCACCAAGAGAUUUACGACUGAUUUGUAGUUUGUUCGUAUGUUGUUUUAUUACACCACUGUUUAAAUGGUAGAUUAGCCACUCUUUAUGUGCCUGUACAAGGGGUUUCUUGCGGCUUUUUGGUUUAGAUUUGUUCAUCAUUCACCGUGCAUGAUUUAUAAAUUUGGUUUUCUCGAUUGUAUUGUUUCAUCAUAUUAAGCUAUAUAUUUUGCUCAUAAAUGAAGGCUGAACGGUGACCUGUUACACACACUUAUGCUAUAUUCUAAAUGGACUUUUGUCUUCAUAUCAUUUAAAGAUAUAAAAAGCCGUGUAUAUGAGUGCCAAUGAGACAACACGCUCAUCCAGAAUAAUAAGUCAUAUCAAUUCACGUUGAAUAUCAAAGCCAUCUGAGAUUUUAUUUCCUGUAUUAUGAAAUUUUGCUAAAAAAGAGGAAACUGAGUUUUGUUUUCGUCAUUUUUCUACCUCACUGUUCCAAUUUCCUAGCACAAAUUUCUACUUCCAGAUGGCCCGCUCAAAAAUAAAACCUGAACAAGAUGUGUGGCAGAAUUCCUUCGUUGAACAGUAUUACAAUCGAAACGAUGUUAUAGUUCCACAUGAAGAUCCAAAAGACGACCCUAAAUACAACGAAAAGAAUAGACUGAUCAGGAAAGUUCAGGAAAUUGUGGGAACCAAUGUUUCAGGAAAACCACCAUUGAAUAUUGCUAUCGUUGGUACACCCGGCGGAGGUCAAUCGUCACUUUUAAACACCAUAUUCGCUAGUUUUAGUACAGAAAAAUGGACAGAAAUAGUUCCAUUUGGAAGUUUUGGCAGAUCACAUAGACGGCGUACAACAAGAUUCACAAGGUUUGUACUAUAUUGUUUCCGCGGUACUGUGAUAGUCUCUAUAUAUAGUUAAUAUCCUCAAAAUCAAGCAUACACAUGUUCAUGGAUUACAAUUUACCAGUAAAAAGACACGUCAAUUAAAAUCUAUUUAAUGUAAUUUAACACAUAUAUUAUGCUAUGGAGAAGUAUUUGUGAAAAAUAGUAGUUGUGGGAACUAAUUUUCCUCGCCUUGCGGCUUUGGAAAUUUAACAGUUUUCUCUACAAAAUCAAAAGCACAAACAUAUCAUGACAGAAAUUCUACUUCGUAGAGACUCGCGCCCGGUGGUCGAGUGGUCUAUCGCGUCGAGUAAGGCGCAAGGCGAUUUGGUACCACGCUAUCUCAGUAGAAAUUUAAUUGUUGGUCUGAUAUAUAUAUAAAAUAAUUGCAUAUACCAUAUUCAUAGAAAUUUUACCUUUUACAUAAUUUACUAAACAUAUUUGUUUCAUUUAUUUUGUUAUAGCUACGUAAAAGAUACUUACUACAGACGAAGAGUACCAGACGCUUAUCUAAUGCCGACCUUUUUGGACAUGACUGGUUUUGAAGACGAUGAAUCCGAAAAAAAUGUGGCACUUCUCGAGAUGGUAUGUACUGGUAGAAUAAGGGAAGGUGAAGAAUUCAGACAAGCAAAAGACUACGCAGCAAACAAUGGCCCGGGGGCAUUAUUGGAAAGGUACAAUCGAGGAGUAUGUCAUCGUCCGGUUGAUCGGAUAAUUGUGGU
rnacentral:lncRNA from 1 species